GCACGGUCAGUCCGUCAAUAUGAACAUGUAUUCUUGAAAACCGGUUUUUAAUUUACAAAAAAAGCGCUCAAAGCUUUCUAUUAAUGCAUUUAUUCGGGUAAACAUCCUAGUAGACUUUACUUUAAGAUUUUUUAUUAAAACGGCAUACGCGCUUCCUGAACUGGUCUCGCGAGAGAAUCGCGAGGCUUAACACGCGGGUCUUAAACACGCGUGUCUAGAGAUCACGCGUGUCUGGAGGUCAGAUUUGGCUUCAAGAAAAAUGUAGGCAGUUUAUCUGAAGGUAUAGCGUACUAGUUAUAUUCAUUUCACUGCUAAGGAGGCUACUUUAAUAGUUGUUCCCAGUCCCUACUAAUACCCUCUAUUACUUUUUCUGUGUUUUAGAUAAUAUUUAUUGCUACGACGUCUUGACACUUGACCGAGAUGAUUGAUCAGGACACUGACGACAAUUAUGUAAUAGAUAAAGCAUGAGCAGCCGAUCUGAUGUUGAUUUGCAAAGCAAGUCAUAUUGUAAAUCACAUGUAGUUCGGAGGUCAAUCUUUUAUAUUACCUCAAAUGAAACGCAUCUAUAUAAAAUGAAGUUCACCUUCUAUUUUCGUGAUAACAUUAGCAUGCACAUGAAAUCAAAGCAAAUUUUUGAAAAAUUGAACGAACCUGAAUCCUAUAUUUAUGCAGAUAUUGGUAGUUUUCGUCUCUUCAAAUUUUCUUCCCAUAUAUUCCCAUUCUUUUGGAUUAAUCGCGGCUUACUAGAUUUGCAGCUAUAAAGAUCUAAUGUAGAUUUAGUAAUCAAGAUUUAUACUAUUCAUAUAUCAUGAAUCUGUAACGAGUUUAGCUUUAAUGAUGGAUAGAAUAAAGUUAAAUAUCGCUCCUAAUGUACAUUAUUAUUCUAUCAUGAGCAUGCUUCAGGCGAAAUUUUUCUUUGUCUUGUGAUUUCUCGGGUGGGACUAAUUAGAAAAGACAAAGAGAAAUUCCGCUAUAUAUAAUUUGUAGAAUUAUUCAAUUAAUUAAUAAAAUGCCUGGAUUACAAAUCUUGAAUUCUAUUAAAUAUUAAAUAUUGCUUGUUAAAAUUACUUUUGACCUGAAAAUAGGAGUGAUUUUGGGGGCCGUAUCUAAGGUAAGGAGCUAUAAUUAAUUCCUAAUUUUCUAACUUUAGCGUGAUUAGAAAUAAUUGCUUGCCGAGAUACUGUAUAUGUCAAAGGCUAUUCUAUAAAAGAAGGUCAUCUUUUAUUCGUUAAUCUUUCAAUAGUUAUUUUUGCUAACUUAGAAAACUACAGUAUAUAUAUGGCCUUUUUAAUCUUAUUAUUGCAUGGCAGAUUUCUAUCGACUCAAUCUAUCAGUAGCCAAGGGGGGGGAGGGCGAGAGGGGGGGUGACCGCCCCCCCCCAAUCGCAAAAAAAUCUGUAAAAGGCAAAAUCCGUAGAGAAAUUG
rnacentral:lncRNA from 1 species